CUGAUGGCGACCGGCGCACGGGUGAGUAACACGUAUCCAACCUGCCGUCUACUCUUGGACAGCCUUCUGAAAGGAAGAUUAAUACAAGAUGGCAUCAUGAGUCCGCAUGUUCACAUGAUUAAAGGUAUUCCGGUAGACGAUGGGGAUGCGUUCCAUUAGAUAGUAGGCGGGGUAACGGCCCACCUAGUCUUCGAUGGAUAGGGGUUCUGAGAGGAAGGUCCCCCACAUUGGAACUGAGACACGGUCCAAACUCNUACGGGAGGCAGCAGUGAGGAAUAUUGGUCAAUGGGCGAGAGCCUGAACCAGCCAAGUAGCGUGAAGGAUGACUGCCCUAUGGGUUGUAAACUUCUUUUAUAAAGGAAUAAAGUCGGGUAUGGAUACCCGCUUGCAUGUACUUUAUGAAUAAGGAUCGGCUAACUCCGUGCCAGCAGCCGCGGUAAUACGGAGGAUCCGAGCGUUAUCCGGAUUUAUUGGGUUUAAAGGGAGCGUAGAUGGAUGUUUAAGUCAGUUGUGAAAGUUUGCGGCUCAACCGUAAAAUUGCAGUUGAUACUGGAUAUCUUGAGUGCAGUUGAGGCAGGCGGAAUUCGUGGUGUAGCGGUGAAAUGCUUAGAUAUCACGAAGAACUCCGAU
rnacentral:rRNA from 1 species